rnacentral:tRNA from 1 species
GCCGAAGUGGCGAAAUGGCAGACGCACUAGACUCAAAAUCUGGCGCCAGCAAUGGCAUGAGGGUUCGAGUCCCUCCUUCGGCACCA